GACGAACGCUGGCGGCGUGCCUAAUACAUGCAAGUUGAGCGCUGAAGGUUGGUACUUGUACCGACUGGAUGAGCAGCGAACGGGUGAGUAACGCGUGGGGAAUCUGCCUUUGAGCGGGGGACAACAUUUGGAAACGAAUGCUAAUACCGCAUAAAAACUUUAAACACAAGUUUUAAGUUUGAAAGAUGCAAUUGCAUCACUCAAAGAUGAUCCCGCGUUGUAUUAGCUAGUUGGUGAGGUAAAGGCUCACCAAGGCGAUGAUACAUAGCCGACCUGAGAGGGUGAUCGGCCACAUUGGGACUGAGACACGGCCCAAACGCCUACGGGAGGCAGCAGUAGGGAAUCUUCGGCAAGGGACGAAAGUCUGACCGAGCAACGCCGCGUGAGUGAAGAAGGUUUUCGGAUCGUAAAACUCUGUUGGUAGAGAAGAACGUUGGUGAGAGUGGAAAGCUCAUCAAGUGACGGUAACUACCCAGAAAGGGACGGCUAACUACGUG
rnacentral:rRNA from 1 species